rnacentral:lncRNA from 1 species
AGAUAUGCUGGACAUUGAACGGUGAGGAGGGUGGAGAAGAAUUUUAUUGAGUGAUAAAACAGCUUUCAGCUGAGAGGGGACAUGGGGGUGGUCCCCCUACCCAAAGAUGGAAGAACUUUCUUUCCUCACCCGGACUCCAAAUGCUACCCUUUUCCUGCCCUGUAUCCGCAGUUGUGAAGUCACCCUGGAUUCUACUUCUUCUUUUGAGCAUUCUAAGAAAAUACUCUGGGGAGAAAACCACUUUGGCUUGAAGUGCCGGUUGCUCUUAGUGACGCUGAAGAAGCUACUCCGUGUGUUUCAGGGUACUGGGUAUGAAAGUGUGGUACACAAUACAGGCUGGUAAAGAAUCCCCACAUUCGCUUCCGCUCAAUACACCAGCAUCAGACUCUAGUUGUACUAGAACACCAUUCUGAAUCCUGAAAACAGAUAGCAAAAACAGCAGCUGUACAGGGACUGUUUAUUUAUGGAAUCCCUCACGUAAACAGAGUGAGGGUGAUGGAUCAUCACUCGGCCCAUAAACAUGACUGUGCUCCGGCAGGGGCCUUGUCCUCAUCUGAGCCCACUGACCUCUUCCUGUGUCUGCAAACAGUGGCAAAGCGGAAACAAGGAAAAUAGGCGUGAGGAAAUGGUGUUGAGUUGCAAAACAUGGAGAGAACAAUUGGCAUUGCGAUUCCCAGGACAAGCAGGACCGCAGCCGCUCGCAGAGGCACCAACUUGAGAGGGGAUGGUUCUGUUCUCUGGCCCUGAAAGUAUGCACUUUCUGCAGCCUUGAAUUUGUCCUGCCUCUAAGGAAGUUAUUUACAGUUUUGCACAGUGGGAUAGUUUUAUGAGCCAACCCUCUCAUUUUUAUGAGGGUUCCCGGGGUAAAGCAGUUAUACAAUCUUACACCAGCACACCAACUUCAGUGAAGAACAAACAAUAUAAAGUAGGCCAUCCAGACCCAUAAAGCAGGCAACACUGAACAGUCGUGAUUUCAGUUCAGUUCAGAGGUGACCUGGCUUAUUACGAUAAGAUAGAGGAAUGAACAGGGCCUACGCAGAGAGAGCGAGCAAGUGAGUGGGAAAUAAAUAAUUCAUUGUCUCCUUCCAGAAGCUGUAAGUUGAAGGGACAGAAAUCUUGUUAUCAGAAAAAGGACCAAAAUUCAAUUGCUAGAAUGUUCUUUCAAAUUACUUUUCAGAUUUGUUGGUUGAAGGAAAUGACAUCACCUUCUACCAAAUAUUUGGUAAGCAAUCCAUCAUCAACACAAGGCUUUCAGAUUUUAACAUGGCUUUCUAUGUAUAACAAACCAACUUUUCCUCCCUGAACUUGUGGAGAAUGAGGUCUCUGGGUGUGCUUGUAUUUACAAAUGAGUUUGCUAAGCUUUGACUUCAUAAGAAGACAAGGUUAAUUAGGAGCUAGACUGUGGAUCUUAAAUUUAUCGGCAGGCUAAGUAGCUGGUGACUGCCCCAAUCAGAGUCAGCUUCCAGGAAAUGAAACGGGACUUAUUUA